AUGAACCGUGGCCACCUACCUGCUUUGGUUGGUGGGGGCGGCUCCUCCGUUGUGGGUAAACGGGAAACCCGACUCUACGAACCCGAGGAAAGGCUGCACAGCUUCCGUAGGGGCGUUAAGACCGGAGCUUUUUGUAGUGCUAGCAGGAAUGCAAGUGAAGGAAUCCAAUCCCAUCCCCUUUAA
rnacentral:rRNA from 1 species